GGGAAGGAAACGAGGCCCGGCAUCGCGGAGGAGUCAGCGCUCGCGAGGUGAUUCGACCCAGGCUGGCGAGCGGGAGGCGGUAGGUGGGCAGCCAACUGCUGAGCAUCCUGAGUGAGUUUGUAACUGAUGUCUGAAUCGAACAGUGGAGCAGCGCAUUCCUAAAGGUGUCGGCUGGAGGCGGGCAAGACACUGGGAGGAGGCACAACCAGGACAACUGACCUGAGCUGGCCGAAGGGACGGUCUGUGCCGUACAAUGUCAUGCUUGGAUACCAACUGUUACCAUAAUCAAGUCUUCUACCGGUCGCUUUGUUAUUUCUGGAGCAGAAAAUUUCUCAAAGUCCAUGAAGACUGCUGAAGAGUAUAACCUAGUGGAUCAGAAAUGCUGCUUAGAGACUUAAAAGAAAUCUUAACUCAAA